GGCAACUGCCCGGAGUCGUAAAUAAAACCCUGGCUCAUUUUCGGUCUCUGUUAGUGGGCUUCCGUAGUGGGGAAUCGCUUAUGUUUAUUAGUUUAAACCGAGGCCAGUCUCAGAUUACACAAAAGGUGCCUGGAUUGUGGGUGUGUGGAUGUGGUUGUGGGCCAAGUGAAAAGCUGAAUGAAAGAAACAAGAAAGCAGAGCUCAUAUCAUGCAUCAGACUUUAAUAUUAGACGUGGACGUGUGCUCGAGCAUAGGGAACAGAACUGAAGGAACUGAAAGAAGUGAAGGAUAAAGGACGCCGCCAUCGCAAGGAGUUACCGCUUUGGGCAUCGCAAUCUGCAGUAAUUUAUGCAUUCUCUCAAAUUAAUAUUUCUAAUGGAAUUUGAAGUUUGCAUUUUAUUCAAAAGAAAACUGCUGCACUCAGAACUCGUGAUUGUGCUAAUUUUUCAAGAGGGUUGCUCAUUGGGUAUGCGGCAAUAAAAGGUGAAAUUUAUAAGUAUACUUCCCGGUUUUAAUUAAGAUUUUUCUUUUAUGAACUCUUAAAUAAGGUAAAAGAUACACAGUUCAGUUAGUUCCGUUCAUUAUGAAAUUAUAAUAAAGUUCAGCUGGUACUCUUUACUGAUAA